GGAUCACCAGAUUGAUGUUCACUUUGCUUUAAAUAGUCCUCAUAACUAGACAACUGCUCAACUUUCUACAAAAGUCCUCAUAUUAAACUAGAUAACUGCAUAACUUUCUAUGCUAUUGCCUAUAAUAUGCUGAUCGGACUUGUUUAUAUCGUUUAGACAAGCAUGUUUUAGCUAUGAUUUUAUUUUGAGAUGUUCAUGCAGCGGACAGAGAGUUAUCAUCCAGGAGAAGAAUGAAAACCAAGUAGUGGAGAACGUGGUCACCAUUCAGGGAUUGACAUCUUCUGGUUAUUUGCUAGCUAUUGGUGAAGAGAAUCAAAUGUGUGAACUUCAUCCUGAUGGCAAUAGUUUCGACUUCUUCGAAGGACUAGUUAGAAGAAAAAUUGAAUAAAGAAUAUUCCUUAGCACCUUCCACCAGAGGCAAAAGUCAUGUUGGAACGGCAGCAUAGCUGAAGAUGUUUUAUGAACUGUAUCUCUUACUUUCAUGUCGAGAUGUAUAGCAAUAAGCAAUCAUUUGUUAGGAACCUGGACACUUCUGUAUCAUCUGUGGAAUGAUACGAAUGAACAACUCCAUAAUUGAUUUGGUGUGUGGCUCAUCACUGGAGAAUAGAUACCUUGACUGUCAAUGCAGUCUGAGACUCAGACACUGGUACGACCUUUGAACGAGGUGAAUUUCUGUCUUCCUCUCCCCUUUUCUCUCUAUGCAUUUUGUUUUAGAAGGAAAAGAAAAGUACCCUUCACCCCCGUAAACACUAGCUUCUGCAUGGAACAAGAUGGUCUAGCCUGAUAUAUAUAUUAUUGGGGUUGCCGUAACCCUUUAUGGGGAGCAUGUGGCAGACACUGUCUUCAUUACAGUGGAAUUAUAUUGAGGUUUAGUCUUGUUCAAAAGGCUGCAAAAGAGCAAGUAAAGAUAAGUUCUUUCAAA